rnacentral:tRNA from 1 species
GGGCGGCGCGGCGCAAUGGAUAACGCGUCUCGACUACGGAUCAGAAGAUUCUAGGUUCGACUCCUGGCUGGCUCG